AUUUUUUUAAGAAAAAUCAAUAAAUAAUUUAAAAUAAAACCUGCUCAAUGUAAAUUAUAAAUAGCUGCAAAAUUUUUGUACUAAGGUAGCAUGAUCAUUAGCUUUUUAAUUAAAAGAUAGUAUGAAUGGUUUAACGAAAUAUAAACUAUUUUUUUCAAUUAAGUAAAUUUAAAAUAAAAGUUAAAAUUCUUUUAAUUUUAAGAAAGACGACAAGACCCUAAUAAACUUAAAAUUUAGCUGGGGUGGCAUAAAAAUUAAUACUUAUUUAAUAUAAUAUAUUAAACUUUAAAUUAUUAAAUUAUAAUAAAGUUACUAUAGGGAUAACAGCGCAAUUUUAAUUUAAAGAUCUUAUUAAUAUUAAAUAUUACGACCUCGAUGUUGAAUUAAUUUAAUUUUAUAAAGCAAAAUUUAUAAAAAGAGGUCUGU
rnacentral:rRNA from 1 species